rnacentral:tRNA from 1 species
GGGCGAUUAGCUCAGCUGGGAGAGCACCUGCCUUACAAGCAGGGGGUCGGCAGUUCGAACCUGUCAUCGCCCACCA